rnacentral:rRNA from 1 species
GCAUAUCAAUAAGCGGAGGAAAAGAAACCAACAGGGAUUGCCCCAGUAACGGCGAGUGAAGCGGCAACAGCUCAAAUUUGAAAUCUGGUCCCCCCGCGGGGCCCGAGUUGUAAUUUGAAGAGGAUGCUUCUGGCAAGGUGCCGUCCGAGUUCCCUGGAACGGGACGCCGCAGAGGGUGAGAGCCCCGUACGGUCGGACGCCGAGCCUCUGUGAAGCUCCUUCGACGAGUCGAGUAGUUUGGGAAUGCUGCUCAAAAUGGGAGGUAAACCCCUUCUAAAGCUAAAUACCGGCCAGAGACCGAUAGCGCACAAGUAGAGUGAUCGAAAGAUGAAAAGCACUUUGAAAAGAGAGUUAAAAAGCACGUGAAAUUGUUGAAAGGGAAGCGCUUGCGACCAGACUCGCGCCCGUCGGAUCAGCCGUCGCUCGUCGGCGGCGCACUCCGGCGGGCUCGGGCCAGCAUCAGUUCGCCUCGGGGGGAGAAAGGCGGCGGGAAUGUGGCUCCACGGAGUGUUAUAGCCCACCGCGUAAUACCCCCGGGCGGACUGAGGACCGCGCGUAUGCAAGGAUGCUGGCGUAAUGGUCGUCAGCGACCCGUCUUGAAACACGGACCAAGGAGUCGUCCUAAUAUGCGAGUGUACGGGUGUCAAACCCCUGCGCGUAAUGAAAGUGAACGGAGGUGAGAGCUUCGGCGCAUCAUCGACCGAUCCUGAUGUUCUCGGAUGGAUUUGAGUAAGAGCAUAUUGGGCCGGACCCGAAAGAAGGUGAACUAUGCCUGUGUAGGGUAAAGCCAGAGGAAACUCUGGUGGAGGCUCGCAGCGGUUCUGACGUGCAAAUCGAUCGUCAAACAUGGGCAUGGGGGCGAAAGACUAAUCGAACCUUCUAGUAGCUGGUUUCCGCGA